GUCCCCGUAGCUCAGUUGGAUAGAGUACUGGCCUCCGAAGCCAGAUGCGGCAGUUCAAGUCUGCCCGGGGGCA
rnacentral:tRNA from 1 species